rnacentral:rRNA from 1 species
GUCCACGCCGUAAACGAUGGAUACUAGCUGUUGGGGGCAACUUCAGUGGCUAAGCGAAAGUGAUAAGUAUCCCACCUGGGGAGUACGUUCGCAAGAAUGAAACUCAAAGGAAUUGACGGGGGCCCGCACAAGCGGUGGAGCAUGUGGUUUAAUUCGAUGAUACGCGAGGAACCUUACCAAGGCUUAAAUGUAGAUUGACCGGUUUGGAAACAGACUUUUUGCAAGACAAUUUACAAGGUGCUGCAUGGUUGUCGU